UUCUUUUUCUGUUUUACAUAGAUGUUUCCACAAAAAGAAAAGACCUUCCACUGUAGAACAAAAAAUCAGUGGCACCUCUGUGCAUGCUUGAAAAAUAUAUACCACCAUUUUGGUCAAAUACAUAUAAAUAAUAAGGGGACAAAGAAAUCCUGCUGCCAUGGUACUUAAACUCAUGGAAAAUACGUGACCGUAAUUAGCUGUGCUGAAAUACAUGAUUGUAGUCAAGCUCCUUCCCAUGCUUGCCUUCCACUUAGGUGCUUGCGUCUUUUGCAUCUCCCCUCACACAGCAAAGCAGGCCACUUUGAGGUCUUAAAAUCUGUAAUUAUCCUUCCAUUUUCAUUUCACAGCUCCUGUCACUGCCCCUGGUUAUACAUACAGCUCUGAGUUUCCCAUCAAAACUCUCAACAGGCCAAGAAGCAGAAAAAAGUGGGAUUUGUAAAGCGAAGGAGACUUAUGCUGUAAACACAGGAGGACCACGUAGAGUAUUUUAAUGACCCUUUUUUAUCUCUUUCCAGCAGACCUUUCUUUACUGCUCCUGUUACAGCAUCUACUAGUUGACCAUGGAGGAAGCUAGGACCAAGCAAUCCUGAAUGCAUAAGGUUGGAAAGUGCCUUUAAGUUCAGCUCACUCCUUUGUUUCUUCAACUGUUUUGACUGUAUUAGCAGUCUUGUACACAACAAGCAUUCACUCACUUCUGGUCUUGCCCCUCCUUGCUUUGCUUUCUGGAGUUUGGACACAUUUUCUCUGCACAGUGGGUGCUUUUAAAUUCCACUGUCCAAAAUCUUCAGUAUCUAGAAAUUUGAUAGCUUCAUCCUUCCCUACCUUUCAGCAGUCCAACCACCCGUGUAUUACUUAAGUGUAGUUAAGUUUUCCACUGAUUCUAACAUAUGUUUAAGGAAUAUGUUUUUGAAAACUCUUCCCUUUUUCUCCUGUUUUAUGUGUUUUGCUAUGGCAAGAUUUGAAGGACAGUGCUAAGGAGCAUGACACCACUCCAGGAAAGCUUUCAGUCAUAAACAAGCCCACUGUUUUAACCAUGGGAUAACCAGCUCUGCCAGCAACUGUGUGCUUAAAACUUGAUAUGCACAGAGGCAGUGUCAAAAUGUUCAGCAUCUUGCAAAACUGAGUUGUAGCCCAGUUGUUAAACAGGUAUCCACUAUCUCAAUACUGUUGAUGGGUCAUAGAUUUGCUAAUUUGGAAGCCAUCCUGCACACACUUCUGUCUUGAUAGACCUGGGAGACAGCUCCUCUGGCAUUGCUGUUGUAGUAAUGCCUACAGCUAUUGUGGAAAGGUUAUAUCUUCAGGAAAGGUUAUAUCUUUGCUCUGAGAAGAUGCCCAGCCCGUAAGUUGCUGUCCACGUGUCUUGUGGAUCAAAGUUACUGAAUGUCCAUCAGUCUCCAGGAGUGACAGCACUCUGUCCUAGAAUUAGUGCAAAAAAUCUCUCAAGACAUGGGACAAAUCUUUUUUUGAUGGCACUGAAUUCUGAGGCUUUUAGUGGAAUUAAGUAGAAGUGAUAGCAAACAAAUAAUGUCAGAUUGGCC
rnacentral:lncRNA from 1 species